UUGACCCAGCUUUCUCUCCCGUCCUUCCCCACCCACUGAGUAACCUUGACGUGACAGAGGGCCCAGUCCCCGCAAGCAGGCUGCUGCCGCUCCUGCGGCAGGCGGGAGUGGAGGCCAACAGACUAAUGAAGGGCGAGGGAGGGAGCCCACGCGGCGCCCCUGGCUGCUCCUCCACCGUGGACAGGCCCGGGGCUUUUGUUCUCCGAGCCACCGAAAGAAGCAAUUACCGCGCAAACAGGAGUUUGCGGAGGUUAAUACCCAUCACUCUAGCCAGGAUAAAUAUUUUGAAGACAAGAGGCAAAAGAGAGAGAGACAUGAGCGGGGGAAGGGCAGAGAGAGAGGGAGACAGAAUCUGAAGCAGGCUCCAGGCUCUGAGCUGUCAGCGCAAAGCCCCACGCGGGGCUCGAACUCACAGACCUCGAGAUCACGACCUGAGCCGAAGUCACACUCAACCGACUGAGCCACCCAGGUGCCCCAGGAAUAUUCUCCAUUUGUAACUAGGAAAUUGCUCACUUUUUCCAAGAAGCCGUUAUCCAAAAGGCUUUCCACUAAGACACUAAUACUUUUACUUUUUGGGGAGUUGGGAAAGACUGAUACUGUUUCCAUUAUUACAAAACUGGGGUUUAGGGUAAAUUCAAUGAUUUUGCCCCAAAGACAAUGUCAGAUUAGCCCCCCAAAAAAGUGCUCUUUCAUCGAGAUUAGGGUUUCCAAAUUCCAGCAUACAUAUUACCAGCAGGAUGUUUGUGUAAAUCAGAUUCAUGGCCCCACCUCCCACCAUGCUCACAGAGGGAGUCUGGUG